AAACUUUCAACAACGGAUCUCUUGGUUCUGGCAUCGAUGAAGAACGCAGCAAAAUGCGAUANGUAAUGUGAAUUGCAGAAUUCAGUGAAUCAUCGAAUCUUUGAACGCACAUUGCGCCCGCCAGUAUUCUGGCGGGCAUGCCUGUUCGAGCGUCAUUU
rnacentral:rRNA from 1 species